rnacentral:rRNA from 1 species
UACGGAAGGCAGCAGUGGGGAAUAUUGCACAAUGGGCGCAAGCCUGAUGCAGCCAUGCCGCGUGUAUGAAGAAGGCCUUAGGGUUGUAAAGUACUUUCAUCGGGGAGGAAAAACAAAACUAAUAAUUUUAUUUCUUGACGUUACCCGAAAAAGAAGCACCGGCUAACUCCGUGCCAGCAGCCGCGGUAAUACGGAGGGUGCUAGCGUUAAUCAGAAUUACUGGGCGUAAAGAGCACGUAGGUGGUUUUUUUAAGUUCAGAUGUGAAAUCCCCUGGGCUUAACCUAGGAACUGCAUUUUGAAACUGAAAUACUAGAGUAUCGUAGAGGGAGGUAGAAUUCUAGGUGUAGCGGUGAAAUGCGUAGAUAUCUGGAGGAAUACCUGUGGCGAAAGCGGCCUCCUAAACGAAUACUGACACUGAGGUGCGAAAGCGUGGGGAGCAAACAGGGAUUAGAUACC